rnacentral:rRNA from 1 species
AACGCUGGCGGCAGGCUUAACACAUGCAAGUCGAACGGUUGUAGCAAUACAGCAGUGGCAGACGGGUGAGUAACACGUGGGAACCUUCCUAGGGGUACGGAACAACUCAGGGAAACUUGAGCUAAUACCGUAUACGUCCGUGAGGAGAAAGUUUUAACGCCCCUAGACGGGCCCGCGUAGGAUUAGGUAGUUGGUGAGGUAACGGCUCACCAAGCCUACGAUCCUUAGCUGAUCUGAGAGGAUGAUCAGCCACACUGGGACUGAGACACGGCCCAGACUCCUACGGGAGGCAGCAGUGGGGAAUCUUGGACAAUGGGCGCAAGCCUGAUCCAGCCAUGCCGCGUGAGUGAAGAAGGCCUUCGGGUUGUAAAGCUCUUUUACCAGGGACGAUAAUGACGGUACCUGGAGAAUAAGCCCCGGCAAACUUCGUGCCAGCAGCCGCGGUAAUACGAAGGGGGCUAGCGUUGUUCGGAAUUACUGGGCGUAAAGCGCACGUAGGCGGAUUGUUAAGUCAGAGGUGAAAUCCCGGAGCUCAGCUUCGGAACUGCCUUUGAUACUGGCAAUCUCGAGUCCGGAAGAGGUUAGUGGAAUUCCCAGUGUAGAGGUGAAAUUCGUAGAUAUUGGGAAGAACACCAGUGGCGAAGGCGGCUAACUGGUCCGGUACUGACGCUGAG